rnacentral:rRNA from 1 species
UGGGGAAUAUUGGACAAUGGAGGGAACUCUGAUCCAGCAAUUCUGUGUGUGUGAAGAAGGUUUUAGGACUGUAAAACACUUUUAGUAGGGAAGAAAAAAAUGACGGUACCUACAGAAGAAGCAACGGCUAAAUACGUGCCAGCAGCCGCGGUAAUACGUAUGUUGCGAGCGUUAUCCGGAAUUAUUGGGCUUAAAGGGCAUCUAGGCGGUAAGACAAGUUGAAGGUGAAAACCUGUGGCUCAACCAUAGGCUUGCCUACAAAACUGUUGAACUAGAGUACUGCAAAGGUGGGUGGAACUACACGAGUAGAGGUGAAAUUCGUAGAUAUGUGUAGGAAUGCCGAUGAUGAAGAUAACUCACUGGACAGAAACUGACGCUGAAGUGCGAAAGCUAGGGGAGCAAACAGG